rnacentral:rRNA from 1 species
UACCAGCGCCCCGAGUGGUCUGCGCGAUUAUUGGGCCUAAAGCGUCCGUAGCCGGCCUUACAAGUCCUCCGUUAAAUCCAGCUGCUUAACAGAUGGGCUGCGGAGGAUACUAUAAGACUAGGAGGCAGGAGAGGCAAGCGGCACUCAGUGGGUAGGGGUAAAAUCCGUUGAUCCAUUGAAGACCACCAGUGGCGAAGGCGGCUUGCCAGAAUGCGCUCGACGGUGAGGGAUGAAAGCUGGGGGAGCAAACCGG